GCCGCCGUAGCUCAGUUGGCAGAGCAGCGGACUUUUAAUCCGAGGGUCGCAGGUUCGAAUCCUGCCGGCGGCA
rnacentral:tRNA from 1 species